AGAACUCAGCCACCAUGUUGUAAGGAAGCCCAGGCAAGUGGAGUGGUCACAGGCAGGUGUUCCAGCCAACAGCCCCAGCUGAGGUCCAGCCCACAGCCAGCAUCAACCAUCAGAGGUUUCAGGAGGCCAGAAAUUGAAGAUCAAAGUAUCUGCUGGAAUUGAUCCUCUCUGGGGACUGGAAGGGAAGGAUUGGCUCCAGAUUCUGACACACUGCAGGUUAGGACUUCAGCAUGAAUUUAUUCAAGGGACACAAGUCAGCUUGUAACACCCGCCAAGCCUCCACCCACAUUGCAGACCCAUGUGCAAAAUAAAUGUGCUGGUGUUCUGGCCACUAAAAUUUGAAGUGGUUUAUUUACAUAACAAAAACACAACAAUAUGCCUAAGGUACUUGACUUAGAGA